rnacentral:rRNA from 1 species
GACGAACGCUGGCGGCGUGCCUAAUACAUGCAAGUCGAACGCAGUGGGGACGGGUGAGUAACACGUGGGUAACCUCCCAUCAGAGGGGAUAACACUUGGAAACAGGUGCUCAACCGAUACUGCUGGAUGAACCCGCGGUGCAUUAGCUAGUUGGUGAGGUAACGGCGCACCAAGGCCACGAUGAAUCGCCGACAUGACAGGAUGAUCAGUAAAACUGGGACUGAGACACGGCCCAGACUCCUACGGGAGGAAGCAGUAGGGAAUCUUCGGCAAUGGACGAAAGUCUGACCGAGCAACGCCGCGUGAGUGAAGAAGGUUUUCGGAUCGUAAAGCUCUGUAGUUAGAGAAGCGGUAUCUAACCAGAAAGCCACGGCUAACUACGUGCCAGCAGCCGCGGUAAUUC